rnacentral:tRNA from 1 species
GGUGGGGUGGCCGAGCGGUUGAAGGCGGCGGUCUUGAAAACCGCUGUGGGACUCGCUCCCACCGGGGGUUCGAAUCCCUCCCCCACCG